GGCACUGUGGCUUAGUAGGUUAAAGUUCCAGUCUCCUAAACAGGAUAUCAUGGGUUUAAUUCCCAGCAGUGCCU
rnacentral:tRNA from 1 species